UGGGGAAUAUUGGGGCAAUGGGGCGAAAGCCUGACCCAGCGGCGCCGCGUGAGGGAAGACGGUCUUCGGAUUGUAAACCUUAGUCAACAGGGAAGAAGAAAGUGACGGUACCUGUGGAGGAAGCCACGGCUAACUACGUGCCAGCAGCCGCGGUAAUACGUAGGUGGCAAGCGUUAUCCGGAAUUACUGGGUGUAAAGGGUGUGUAGGCGGGAAGGCAAGUCAGAUGUGAAAAUUAUGGGCUUAACCCAUAACUUGCAUUUGAAACUGUUUUUCUUGAGAGACGGAGAGGUAAACGGAAUUCCCAGUGUAGCGGUGAAAUGCGUAGAUAUUGGGAGGAACACCAGUGGCGAAGGCGGUUUACUGGACGUCAACUGACGCUGAGACACGAAAGCGUGGGGAGCAAACAGGAUUAGAUACCCUGGUAGU
rnacentral:rRNA from 1 species